rnacentral:rRNA from 1 species
GAUGAACGCUGGCGGCGUGCUUAACACAUGCGAGUCGAACGGAAAGGCUCCUGCUUGCAGGGGUACUCGAGUGGCGAACGGGUGAGUAACACGUGGGUGAUCUGCCCUGCACUUCGGGAUAAGCCUGGGAAACUGGGUCUAAUACCGGAUAGGACGAUGGUUUGGAUGCCAUUGUGGAAAGUUUUUCGGUGUGGGAUGAGCUCGCGGCCUAUCAGCUUGUUGGUGGGGUAAUGGCCUACCAAGGCGUCGACGGGUAGCCGGCCUGAGAGGGUGUACGGCCACAUUGGGACUGAGAUACGGCCCAGACUCCUACGGGAGGCAGCAGUGGGGAAUAUUGCACAAUGGGCGCAAGCCUGAUGCAGCGACGCCGCGUGGGGGAUGACGGCCUUCGGGUUGUAAACUCCUUUCGCUAGGGACGAAGCGUUUUGUGACGGUACCUGGAGAAGAAGCACCGGCUAACUACGUG